rnacentral:ncRNA from 1 species
GGCUGAUCAGGGCAAAACCGGCGCGAGCCGGCGACGCAAAGCCUCCGGUCUCAGCGACGGCAUCCGACGGAUGUCACGACUCGAGAUAGCGGGGUUGCCGGA